rnacentral:rRNA from 1 species
GGCAUGCCUAACACAUGCAAGUCGAACGGAAACAGGACGCUGUGAUCUCUUCGGAGUGAACUUGUCGCUGUCGAGUGGCGGACGGGUGAGUAAUGCAUGGAAAUUGCCUCGAAGUGGGGGAUAGCCCGGAGAAAUCCGGAUUAAUACCGCAUGUGCUCUACGGAGCAAAGCGGGCCUCUGAUUUAAGCUCGCGCUUUGAGAUAUGCCUAUGUCGGAUUAGCUAGUUGGUAGGGUAAUGGCCUACCAAGGCGACGAUCCAUAGCUGGUCUGAGAGGAUGAUCAGCCACACUGGGACUGAGACACGGCCCAGACUCCUACGGGAGGCAGCAGUGAGGAAUAUUGGACAAUGGGCGCAAGCCCGAUCCAGCCAUGCCGCGUGAGUGAUGAAGGCCCUAGGGUUGUAAAGCUCUUUCAGCGGGGAAGAUAAUGACGGUACCCGCAGAAGAAGCCCCGGCUAACUUCGUG